AGGACAAGUUUGCUUUAUACACUGAUGUUGGAGCUUGGGGAAAGCCACUUGACUACAUUACCCAGCUCAGGCAGUCUGCAAUACUCAAAAGUGAGGACUUUGAGUUCUUGAUGACUGCAGUGUCCAUGACUUAAAUGUUGAACCAGAUGGCCUACAUCCAGAACUGAUGCAUGGAGUUCAAAACUACAGGGAUCAAGUUCUUGAUGACUGCAUUGUCCAUGACCAUGAUGUUGAUCCAGAUGGCCAAGAACCUGAACUGAGACAUAUGGAGGUGCAAAACAGCAUGGAGCAAG